rnacentral:misc_RNA from 1 species
AGUUGGUGGAUGGAGAGUGCGUGGAGCUUCUGGAUCCGUGUUUCGGAUCUAACUGCGAGUUUCAGUGCCAGCCAGUGAGCCCCACCGACU